ACCGAUGUAGCUCAACGGUAGAGCGUGGAGGCGGCCGCAAUAACAGACUCCAAAAGGUAUCAGGUUCGAGUCCUGACGCUGGUG
rnacentral:tRNA from 1 species